rnacentral:lncRNA from 1 species
AGUUGGAGCUUUUUGCUUCACGAAAUCAAGGUACUCUUCUAACACAAUGGUGGUUGUUAUUAGCGUGAUUAGAGGAUUAGGAGCAAUAUUAAAAUACUGGAGCACUCGUAGCCCAUCUUGCCAAACUUGGGUAUAGCUUCUUUCUAAUAAAAGGCAUUAAACAUAUUUUGCUUGAUCCUUGGCCAUACGGAUAUCGCGACCAAUGGUACAAAUGCUUCUUUAUUGAGAUUUCUCGAGGAAAUUGCUAAUCUUGUAUUAUUUUUCCCACUGCGGCAGGCAUCGAAGUGUACAGUGUGAUAGCCUAGUAAGAACUAUUGCACAAACUUGCCAAGAAAAACCGCCAUUCCGUUAAGCAAUUUAUUCCUAAAUCCACUCAUUCCUACUUUGUUGUUUGAUCAACUUCAU